rnacentral:rRNA from 1 species
CGAUAGCGAACAAGUACCGUGAGGGAAAGUUGAAAAGCACUUUGAAGAGAGAGUUCAAGAGUACGUGAAACCGUUUAGGGGUAAACCUGAGAAACCCGAAAGGUCGAAGGGAGAAAUUCAUUCGCGUUUCGCAGCUGGCGUGAAGCGGUCGAGUGACGGAGGACGUUCGCGUUUUCCGCACCUUCCGUUUUUCGAUCUGGCAGCGAACGCGUGCACUUUUCUUCUGGUAGGACGUCGCGAUCCGUUGAGUGUCGGUUUACGGCUUGCGGUGGAGCCCGUACGUACGGUUCGCCGUUACUGUGCGGACCCGUUUGUCCCAACUGACUCGCUCGACGGUAUACGAACGGUUUUGGGCCGCUUCUUUAAGCGUUCGGCUCGUUACAAGCGCGCCAGAUGUGUCGGCCAUCGGACCUAGUGCCGGUUCUGACCUCUGGUGACUGUUGGUAACGAAGUUCUCGAACAGACCUUAAACCGAUCUGCGACGCUAUAGCUUUGGGUACUUUCAGGACCCGUCUUGAAACACGGACCAAGGAGUCUAGCAUGUACGCAAGUCAUUGGGAAUCACUAAACCUAAAGGCGUAAUGAAAGUAAAGGUCUUCCUAGCGAAGACUUAGGGAAGAUAAGCGGUUCGUUUCGGCGGCCGCUUCGCACUCC